AGUCUUAGUGGCGCAGCUAACGCACUAAGUAGACCGCCUGGGGAGUACGGCCGCAAGGUUAAAACUCAAAUGAAUUGACGGGGGCCCGCACAAGCGGUGGAGCAUGUGGUUUAAUUCGACGCAACGCGAAGAACCUUACCUGGCCUCGACAUGCAGAGAACUUUCCAGAGAUGGAUUGGUGCCUUCGGGAACUCUGACACAGGUGCUGCAUGGCCGUCGUCAGCUCGUGUCGUGAGAUGUUGGGUUAAGUCCCGUAACGAGCGCAACCCCUAUCCCUAGUUGCUAGCAGUUCGGCUGAGAACUCUAGGGAGACUGCCGGUGACAAACCGGAGGAAGGUGGGGAUGACGUCAGGUCAUCAUGGCCCUUACGGCCAGGGCUACACACGUGCUACAAUGGUGCGUACAGAGGGCUGCAAACCCGCGAGGGGGGGCUAAUCUCACAAAACGCAUCGUAGUCCGGAUCGGAGUCUGCAACUCGACUCCGUGAAGUCGGAAUCGCUAGUAAUCGCGAAUCAGAAUGUCGCGGUGAAUACGUUCCCGGGCCUUGUACACACCGCCCGUCACACCAUGGGAGUGGAUUGCACCAGAAGUGGUUAGUCUAACCUUCGGGAGGA
rnacentral:rRNA from 1 species